GUCACUUCCAAUUUUGUGGAAUAUUUUAGGAAAAAUGGAUUUUUAAAGAAGAAAAAAAAGACUGAAUUUCUUUGCUUUAUUUGCAUAUACAGACUGGAUUUUUUUUUUUUUAACAGUUUCCCCAAAGGAAUGUGUCUUGCUUCUUACUGACAUUUGGUAUGUUUCAUUCAUUGGACUAUUUCUUACUUACUUUCUAUGUAUUUCAAAAGCCUGUGAGAACUACAGGAUUUGAUAAACAUUUUGAAGACCGGAGAAACCCAAAUUGUUUUCCUCUUUGAGAGUCAUGACUAUCUUCUGGUG
rnacentral:lncRNA from 1 species